rnacentral:rRNA from 1 species
GGGGCCCGGUCUCCUACGGGUGGCAGCAGUGGGGAAUAUUGCACAAUGGGGGAAACCCUGAUGCAGCGACGCCGCGUGAAGGAAGAAGUAUCUCGGUAUGUAAACUUCUAUCAGCCAGGGAAGAUAGUGACGGUACCUGACUAAAGAAGCCCCGGCUAACUACGUGCCAGCAGCCGCGGU